AACGCACCUUGCGCUCCUUGGUAUUCCGAGGAGCAUGCCUGUUUGAGUGUCAUUAAAUUCUCAACUCCGAUCGAUUUGUUUCGACCUCGGAGCUUGGACUUUGGAGUGUGCUGGCGUCGGUCGGCUCCUCUCAAAUGCAUCAGCGGAAUCUAACGUUUCGGACGUCAGUGUGGUAAUCACGUUGCGCUGUCAACCGAUCCUGAAAGGCCCGCUCAUAAUGGUCUUCGGACAACUUCAUAUCAAAUUUGACCUCAAAUCAGGUAGGACUACCCGCUGAACUUAA
rnacentral:misc_RNA from 1 species